rnacentral:misc_RNA from 1 species
AACGCGCAUUGCGCCUCCUGGUAUUCCGGGAGGCAUGCCUGUUCGAGCGUCAUCAAACAAACCUCAAGCACUUUUGCUUGGUAUUGGAGAUGGAGGAAGCCGCAAGGUUCGCCUCCACUCCGAAAUUCAACGGCAGAGAGCUCUCGGUGCGAUUGCGUAGUAAGUAACUAUUUCGCGGUCACCUGGAAACCUUCUCGCCAUAGAACCCCCAUUUUUCUUAGUUUGACCUCGGAUCAGGUAAGGAUACCCGCUGAACUUAA